GAGAGCGAGAGAGAGAGAGAGAGAGAGAGAGAGCGAGGGCGAGAGAGAGAAGGAGAGCGAGAGAAGGAGAGAGAGCGAGAGAAGGAGAGAGAGAGAAAGAGAGCGAGAGAAAGAGAGAGAGCGAGAGAAGGAGAGAGAGCGAGAGAAGGAGAGAGAGCGAGAGAAGGAGAGAGAGCGAGAGAAGGAGGAGAAUACAGAAGGAGAGAGAGUGAUAGAGAGCGAGAGUGAUAGAGAGAGAGAGUGAUAGAUAUAAGAAAGAUAAAGGAGAGAGAGAGAAAGAGAGCGAGAGAAAGAGAGUGAUAGAGAGUGAUAGAAAGAGAAAGAGAGAGAUAGAGAGAGAGAAAGAGAAGGAGAGAGAAGGAGAGAGAAAGAGAAGGAGAGAGAGAGAAAGAGAAGGAGAGAGAAGGAGAGAGAGAGAGCGAUAGAAGGAGAGAGAGAGCGAUAGAAGGAGAGAGAGAGAGAGAGAGAGAGAGAGAGAGAAGGAGAGUUUAGAGA
rnacentral:lncRNA from 1 species